GGCUCACCGAGUUGGCUCCUCUCACCACUAUAGUCGCCGCCGUCAUCUUUUCUUUCUCUCUCUGCUUCGAACCCCCAUUGGAGCUCUCUGGUACCUCUCUCCCUCUCUUUCUCUUUCUCUCCAUGCUUUAAGUUUAAAUUGUUGGUUCAUGGUUUCUGGUUUAUCGUCAUCUCUGUUUCUGGUUCAUGGUUUAUUAUUUUGGUGAAACAGAGCUACUUCAGAGCUACACCAAACCUGAGGCUUCUAUCUGUGCAAGAUACAAAAAAAAGCAACCAUCUCUGGAUUGCAUGAUAAAGUUGUGUGCUCUUCAAGGCACUAGCAGAGAACCAAGUCUUAGAGUUAAUUUGGAGCCCUUUCCUUAACAAUAGCUGAAAGUCAAUGAUGAUGCUUUUUUAAUUCGAAGAAGGAUGUGGGGGCUUCGAACCCCCAUUGUUUUAUUGAUUCAAAAUUACGAAUCAAAAUGUGAACAAAAUUAAUUUUCAAUUAGAUGAGACGAUGUAAAUAAAAAUAAGAAAUGAUAUGUUUGGAUAAUAAUUUAUAAAUGAUGAUAUUCAAAAAAUAU